CGCGUAGGUUGGUUCGAUAAGUCGAAGGUGAAAUCCCUCGGCUCAACCGAGGACCCGCGUCCGAUACUGUCGAACUUGAGGUGCAGGAGAGGAGAGCGGAAUUCCCAGUGUAGCGGUGAAAUAGCGUAGAUAUUGGGAGGAACACCGGUGGCGAAGGCGGCUCUCUGGACUGUUACUGACACUGAGGCGCGAAAGCUAGGGGAGCAAACCGGGAUUAGAUACCCCGGUAGUCCUAGCCGUAAACGAUGGGCACUAGGUGUGGGAGGUAUCGACCCCUUCCGUGCCGCAGCUAACGCAUUAAGUGCCCCGCCUGGGGAGUACGGCCGCAAGGUUGAA
rnacentral:rRNA from 1 species